rnacentral:rRNA from 1 species
AAACUCAAAGGAAUUGACGGGNNNNNNCACAAGCGGCGGAGCAUGUGGCUUAAUUCGAGGCGNNGCGAAGAGCCUUACCUGGGUUGAACUACGCAGGAAAAGCCGUAGAGAUACGGUGUCCGAAAGGGCCUGCGAUAGGUGGUGCAUGGCUGUCGUCAGCUCGUGUCGUGAGAUGUUGGGUUAAGUCCCGCAACGAACGCAACCCUUGUCCUGUGUUGCCAGCGGAUAAUGCCGGGGACUCGCAGGAGACUGCCGGGGUCAACUCGGAGGAAGGUGGGGACGAAGUCAAGUCAUCAUGCCCCUUACGUCCAGGGCUGCACACAUGCUACAAUGGCCGGUACAAAGGGCUGCUAUUCCGCGAGGAUGAGCGAAUCCCAAAAAGCCGGUCUCAGUUCGGAUCGGAGUCUGCAACUCGACUCCGUGAAGUCGGAGUCGCUAGUAAUCCUGGAUCAGCAACGCCGGGGUGAAUACGUUCCCGGGCCUUGUACACACCGCCCGUCACACCACGAAAGUCGGCAACACCCGAAGCCGGUGGCCCAACCGUAAGGAGGGAGCCGUCGAAGGUGGGGUCGGUGAUUGGGGUGAAGUCNUAACAA